GCCCUGUUGGCAGAAUGGUAAUGCGUCGCCCUCCUAUUUUCCGGAGUGCGAGGCGAAGAUUGCGGGUUCGAGCCCCGUGCAGGGUU